rnacentral:tRNA from 1 species
GUGGGCAUAGUCCAACGGCUAGAACUCUUGCUUGUGGUGCAAGAAAUCUGGGUUCGAUUCCCAGUGCCUACCCCG